rnacentral:rRNA from 1 species
GCCACCGACGCCCGGCCGGUCCUCUACGGACAGGAGCCGCUGGACGCCGAGUUCGCCCGGCUCGCGCGCGCCGCCUUCGCGGCCGACGGCGUCCCCGCGGGCCCGCUCGCCGCGACC